rnacentral:misc_RNA from 1 species
GCGGAUCUCGAGCAUCAAGCACUUCUAAAAUGACAUCAGAAGCGUCAAUGACUUUGACUAACUCCUUGUAGAAAGCUCUUUCCGAGUUCUCACGGAUUUUAACAAAAUUAGUUGAAUCAUUGUUUCCCUUGCCCUCCAUUAAAUUCUGUUCUCCCGAAGCCAUGUCAGCAAGUUCAUUCCCACCAUCAUCCUCGACCACCCCUAGCUUUCUUUUCUUAGCCCUCUCUUUUCGGGCAGCUUUCUUCUGCUCCAAU